ACUAAUGUUUUGACUCUUUAAAGGAAGAAAGCUGAGAGCGUGCACUGCAUAUUUAAGAAUCGUUGGAUGUUUACCACACACUCCAGUGGGACAAAUAUUAAUCAAGCAAUCAAGAAAGGACCCUGAAACAUGAGAGAAGAAUAGAACUUGACAUGUGAUCGUUCAAUAUAAUUGAAUAGUCAAGAUUCCUACAAAGAUAUAGUCACACAGACAGUAUUCUAAAAAUAUUGUGUAAAGAGAAUCAUGUCUUCAAAGAGGGAAUUGCAUGGUGGUUUUCAUACUGAUGUGCUGUGGCAAGAAUAAAGUAAGAACUGAGGGAGGAGGAGAACAGGCAGGAAGAAGAGAACAACUGGAAGUUCCUGAAGUCAAGAUAAAAUACACCAUGUACUCCAGCAUCCAAGGACUGUAUCCACGUGGCCCAUGUACCCAGGGUCAUGGACACUUACUUUCUGAGGUUCUCCUAAGCAACCACUAUUAGAACGCACACAAGAUUUGGGAAUCAAUUGUCUGUGGAAGAGUAAAAUAUCUUUCCUCAACCUGCAUUGGAACGUGUGAGAAGUGGAGGUGAGUAUGGAAAAUAUACGGGCCAGAGAGAAAAUGAAGCAGAUUGAGU
rnacentral:sRNA from 1 species